rnacentral:lncRNA from 1 species
UGUUUUAGCUCCUAGUAGCAGGUUCAGGCUUGGAGCUCACAGGUCCUGCAGUUUUGUGCUUUUCAACCUCACUCUUCACAGGCCUCGGACUUAAAAAACGCAGCUGUGAUGCAAGUCCAUUCCGCUUGCUGCAAACUUGUUGGAAUAAAAUGGGGUGGGAUUGGAUGCCCAGGGCAAGAAAACGGUUUAGGGUAAACUCGGGUAGAGAACCCAGCAGGCCUCUGCCCUUCUCCUGCUGCCAUCCUCCAAGUUGCAGAGAGUUGGAGCUGUAAUCCUGACCACCCGGCAACAUACUAACAGCUACACAGCUUUAAGAGAGUGCCUGGUACCUGAAGGCCGGCUCCUACUGGGACUAAUUCCAUCCAGACAGCUCCAACCCCCCAGUACACAGUUGUAUAUUCUUCAUUGUGAGUCCUUCUAGUUGUGGCAUGUGGGAUGCUGCCUCAGCGUGGUUUGAUGAGCAGUGCCAUGUCCGAGCCCAGGAUUCGAACCAACGAAACACUGGGCAGCCUGCAGUGGAGCGCGCGGACUUAACCACUUGACCACAGAGCCAGCCCUGAAGAUUGACAACUCUUGAUAGCAUGGGUUAAUAUUUGUUUUUCCUGUGUUGGGCCUUUGCCUACCAUAAAAGGGGAAGAGAAACUAAGGGAUGUGUGUGCAAUGUAUGGCUCACACACAUACACAUCUACCUCAUUUAUUCCUUUCAAUAAUUUCAUGAGGGUUGUUAUCCACAUUGUAUAGACAAAGAAAUCUGAGGCUCAGAGAAUGAAAUGAUUUG